AAAACUGAGGGUUAAGACGGUUCCAUAAUUUGCCCAUGGUCACAGAGAUAGGAGGGGGUCAGGCUGCGGCUUGAAUCCAGAUUAUAUAACUCUACAACCCACACGAGUAAUUGUUUCUCUGCAUUGCUUCUAGGAAGGACCAGAUGGAGGCUUGUUGCCAGCUCCGGGUAAAACAUCGUCUCUGGCCCAGGCAGACAAGGUCGCUGGACAUUGUCUGAAUUCUAACUGCUGAGAAGGAAGUAGAAGGAGGCGAAGCCCAAGGGGACACUGAAGGCUGUCCUUGUGAUUAAAAUGAACCCAUGAAUGGCCCCAUUUUGGAGCUCAGCCCUGCACCAGCCACUUUCAUAUGCCAUGCCACUUACUCCAAACUUCUGGACUUGAUGCUAUUUUUCCAUGUCAUACAUCAGGAAAAUGAGAAGUAAGAAGUUAAAGCAAUUAAUGUGGUGGCCUAAGCUAUGGUUCAGAUCUACUGAAAAUCCAAGCUUUCAACAUGAGAUACAAAAAGGUGCCCUUCCACUCUGGGCCCCACGCUACUGAAGGCAAUAUGUACCGGUGAGAGCCUAGAGGCACAAGAGAUACUUUACUAAUAAAGUGCUUCCUGAGCUAGACACGCUUAUUUGGCUGAAGUCUUUUCUUAUGAAAACAAAGAGCCAACCUGAAGACAGAGCCCUGCCCACUCGAGAAACAACCAGGGGAGAGACUGUGCCCCUCCAACACAUCCUGCCCAGGGCCUGUGGAUGGCCUGCUCUUGGAAUGAAGAUGGACACGAUGCAAUUUCAAAGUGAAUAAAAACAUUAAAAUGUGA